rnacentral:rRNA from 1 species
CCUACGGGCGGCUGCAGUGGGGAAUAUUGGACAAUGGGGGCAACCCUGAUCCAGCCAUGCCGCGUGUGUGAAGAAGGCCCUCGGGUUGUAAAGCACUUUCAGUGAGGAAGAACGCCUGGUGGUUAAUACCCAUCAGGAAAGACAUCACUCACAGAAGAAGCACCGGCUAACUCCGUGCCAGCAGCCGCGGUAAUACGGAGGGUGCGAGCGUUAAUCGGAAUUACUGGGCGUAAAGCGCGCGUAGGUGGCUUGAUAAGCCGGUUGUGAAAGCCCCGGGCUCAACCUGGGAACGGCAUCCGGACCUGUCAAGCUAGAGUGCAGGAGAGGAAGGUAGAAUUCCCGGUGGAGCGGUGAAAUGCGUAGAGAUCGGGAGGAAUACCAGUGGCGAAGGCGGCCUUCUGGACUGACACUGACACUGAGGUGCGAAAGCGUGGGUAGCAAACAGGAUUAGAUACCCUUGUAGUC